GGUCACGAGCGCCAGCGCGGAGCCCCGGCUCGCUGGCCGGCAACCCUGCUCCGCGAUGGGGUGCCCCGGGUGACGACCUGGCGGGCGCCGACCGGUGCCGGCAAGCGCGGGCU
rnacentral:ncRNA from 2 species